rnacentral:lncRNA from 1 species
CACUCAGGUCCACCCCUCUCUCCUCUUACAGAUGGUGCUGAACAUCACUGCCCUGACUGAACCUGGGUUUCGAGAUGGAGGCAAUUCCUGAGGAAUGCUGUACCUGGACAGCCUGUGGUUUAACUACAGGGUGGAUUGCAAGGGCUUGUGUGACAAAUGUAUGCAGUCUCCUCUGCUGGAAUGAGGACCCUCCAGGGCUGCCCACCUAGGAAUCACCACACUGGGCUCCAAGCUGCAGCCCAGACAUCAUCUUGGAACUGGCAUUCUCUUCACUGUGCUUUCCCCAAGUCCAUAAAAGCAAUCAUUAUAUAUAGUGUGUUGUCAUAUCCUUGUAGG